GAUGAACGCUGGCGGCGUGCCUAAUACAUGCAAGUCGAGCGAACAGAUGAGGAGCUUGCUCCUCUGACGUUAGCGGCGGACGUGUGAGUAACACGUGGAUAACCUACCUAUAAGACUGGGAUAACUUCGGGAAACCGGAGCUAAUACCGUAUAAUAUAUUGAACCGCAUGGUUCAAUAGUGAAAGACGGUUUUGCUGUCACUUAUAGAUGGAUCCGCGCCGCAUUAGCUAGUUGGUAAGGUAACGGCUUACCAAGGCAACGAUGCGUAGCCGACCUGAGAGGGUGAUCGGCCACACUGGAACUGAGACACGGUCCAGACUCCUACGGGAGGCAGCAGUAGGGAAUCUUCCGCAAUGGGCGAAAGCUUGACGGAGCAACGCCGCGUGAGUGAUGAAGGUCUUCGGAUCGUAAAACUCUGUUAUUAGGGAAGAACAAAUGUGUAAGUAACUAUGCACGUCUUGACGGUACCUAAUCAGAAAGCCACGGCUAACUACGUG
rnacentral:rRNA from 1 species